GAGUUUGAUCAUGGCUCAGGAUGAACGCUAGCGGGAGGCUUAACACAUGCAAGUCGAGGGGCAGCAUUUCUAGCUUGCUAGAAGAUGGCGACCGGCGGACGGGUGCGUAACGCGUAUGCAACUUGCCUAUAACUUAGGGAUAACUUGGAGAAAUCCUUGCUAAUAUCUAAUGUGAUCAAAGAUUCGCAUGUUUUUUUGAUUAAAGAAUUUCGGUUAUAGAUAGGCAUGCGUCCUAUUAGCUAGUUGGUAAGGUAAUGGCUUACCAAGGCGACGAUAGGUAGGGGGCCUGAGAGGGUGAUCCCCCACACUGGUACUGAGACACGGACCAGACUCCUACGGGAGGCAGCAGUGAGGAAUAUUGGUCAAUGGAGGCAACUCUGAACCAGCCAUCCCGCGUGAAGGAUUGAAGGCGCUCGACGUCGUAAACUUCUUUUAUAUAGGAAUAAACUUAGGUACGUGUACUUAAUUGAAUGUACUAUAUGAAUAAGCAUCGGCUAACUCCGUGCCAGCGGCCGCGGUAAUACGGUGGAUGCAAGCGUUAUCCGGAUUUAUUGGGUUUAAAGGGUCCGCAGGCGGACCAGUCAGUCAGUGGUGAAAUCCCAUCGCUCAACGAUGGAACUGCCAUUGAUACUGCUGGUCUUGAGUCUAGUUGACGUAGGCGGAAUAUGACAUGUAGCGGUGAAAUGCAUAGAUAUGUCAUAGAACACCGAUUGCGAAGGCAGCUUACGAAACUACGACUGACGCUCAUGGACGAAAGCGUGGGUAGCGAACAGGAUUAGAUACCCUGGUAGUCCACGCCGUAAACGAUGAUCACUCGAUGUCAGCGAUAUACAGUUGGUGUCUUAGCGAAAGUUUUAAGUGAUCCACCUGGGGAGUACGUUCGCAAGAAUGAAACUCAAAGGAAUUGACGGGGGCCCGCACAAGCGGUGGAGCAUGUGGUUUAAUUCGAUGCAACGCGAAGAACCUUACCAGGGCUUGACAUACUGUGAAUCACUAUGAAAAUAGCCGAGCCGAAAGGCACAGAUACAGGUGGUGCAUGGCUGUCGUCAGCUCGUGUCGUGAGAUGUUGGGUUAAGUCCCGCAACGAGCGCAACCCUUAUCCUCAGUUACCUUUUAGGAACCUGAGGAGACUGCCGGUGUUAAGCCGGAGGAAGGUGAGGACGACGUCAAGUCAUCAUGCCCCUUAUGCCCUGGGCUACUCACGUGCUACAAUGGAUAGGACAAUGGGAUGCCACCCUGCGAAGGCGAGCUAACCCCAAAAACCUAUUCUUAGUUCGGAUUGUAGGCUGCAACUCGCCUACAUGAAGCUGGAAUCGCUAGUAAUCGCUGGUCAGCUAUACAGCGGUGAAUACGUUCUCGGGUCUUGUACACACCGCCCGUCACACCAUGGAAAUUGGCUAUACCCAAAAUCGUGACCCUAACCUUUGGAUGGGAGCGCUUAAGGUAGAGCCAGUAACUAGGGUGAAGUCGUAACAAGGUAACC
rnacentral:rRNA from 1 species